rnacentral:rRNA from 1 species
CCUACGGGUGGCAGCAGUGGGGAAUAUUGGGCAAUGGGCGCAAGCCUGAACCAGCAACGCCGCGUGAAGGAAGAAGGCUCUCGGGUUGUAAACUUCUUUUAAGAGGGGAGAGCAGAAGACGGUACCUCUUGAAUAAGCCACGGCUAACUACGUGCCAGCAGCCGCGGUAAUACGUAGGUGGCAAGCGUUAUCCGGAUUUACUGGGUGUAAAGGGCGUGUAGCUGGGAAGAUAAGUCAGCUGUGAAAUCCAGCGGCUCAACCACGGAAUUGCCGUUGAAACUGUUUUUCUUGAGUACCGUAGAGGUCAGCGGAAUGCCUUGUGUAGCGGUGAAAUGCGUAGAUAUAAGGAAGAACACCAGUGGCGAAGGCAGAUGACUGGACGGUAACUGACGGUGAGGCGCGAAAGCGUGGGGAGCAAACAGGAUUAGAUACCCGUGUAGUC